rnacentral:rRNA from 1 species
AUGGGCAACCUGGUGUCGGCGAGCGCGGGCGGCGGCAAGAUCGUGCUGCCGGACGGGAGCGUCAGGGCGCUGUGCGAGCCCGUGUCCGUGGCCGAGCUCAUGGUGGAGCACCCGCGCCACUUCGUCGUGGACGCGCGCCUCGCGGUGGCCAGCGUCGACAAGGUCGCCGCGCUGCCGGCCGACCACCUGCUGGACGGUGCCGGGGUGUACGUCGUGCUCCCGGCCACCCAGGGCAGGGUCUCCGCCGACGAGGCCCGGCGAGCGCUCACGGCAUCGCGGCUGCUUGCGCGGUGCCGGUCGAUGCCGGUCAGCGCACAGGAGCAGCGGGACGAGGCUGCGCCGUUGCUUGGCGGGCCCGGCGACCACCAGCCGGAGUUCCUGAGCCAGGAACUGACGCGCGGCGGGCCUUGGAAGCCCAGCUUGAGGACGAUCGAAGAGCGCGUGCUGCCGAGGAAGGUGCCUCACUGGCUCUUCUGA